rnacentral:rRNA from 1 species
UACGUAGGGUGCAAGCGUUGUCCGGAAUUAUUGGGCGUAAAGAGCUCGUAGGCGGUCUGUUGCGUCGGCUGUGAAAACCCGGGGCUCAACUCCGGGCCUGCAGCCGAUACGGGCAGACUAGAGUUCGGCAGGGGGAGACUGGAAUUCCUGGUGUAGCGGUGAAAUGCGCAGAUAGUCAGGAGGAACACCGGUGGCGAAGGCGGGCCUCUGGG